CGGGCUAGAAGCGACGCAUG
rnacentral:snRNA from 1 species